ACUUCCAAAACGUCUCCCGCCCUAUCUUUCCUUUUGUUUUUCACCAAGUCUCGAGGGAAAAGACCUGGAACGAGAUCCCUCUCUCUCUCCUCCUCCGUGUGUCUCUCUUCGGGAUUGUCUAAAUUGUCCAAACGACAUGCAGAGCUAUUGGUUUUUUGAAAAGUAUCUUUGGCCAUCUGCUUUCAGUAGAAGAUAACCAUAGACCUAUCAGAGCUUAGGUACUUGGAAGAUGAGGAGAAGAUAAUUAAAGGUGCAACCAUGGGUUAAGUUGUAGGUACCAUUUGGGAAACCAUGCACUUGGUAUUAUUUUCCAGGUGUUGAGAGAACCRUUGCAUUWCCUAGAUUGAAGAYCAUGAAGAUGACRGAUAGCUAUGGGCWGACCUUUGCUUCAACUGGAGGAGUUUAUAUAGAUUUGGAGCAAUUGGUACAGAAUUACGGGAUGAAGAGACUUUGAUAAGGAGCAGAGAUGGUGGUUUUGAUGUUGGAGUUUCUACUUUGSGUCAAAUAUAAUCAUUUAUUCCCUCCACAAUUGGUGUGUAGUCUCCAAUUUGUAAUGUACAAUAAAACAGUAUAAUCCAAAUUAAGUUGCUCUAA